AUGUGCCCUGUUCUAUUGACAGAUGAGGCAACUGAACACCAGAGAUGCAAGAUGAGUUUUUGGAAAUCAGGCAACUAAUUAGCAGCAGAACGAAGCCCUUUUCCUUGGAAGAAUCCAAGUGGACUGUGGAAACUUAUAGAAUCUACAUGUCUACCCCUCAAACAUGGAGCAACUGACAGAGGCCACAGAAGCCAGAGUUAAGAAACCGUAAGCAAAGGGAGGGGAGGACCCUUGCCCUAUUCCAGCUCCAGCCCAAUGCCAAGCUCUUGGAGCUGAGUAACCACCUGUUGAUUGAUCGUUACCGUGGCAAGAGCCUCCGAAAGAGCAUGAACAAACAAGUGAGGAGACUGAGCACAGAGAGUGAAGCGAUUUGGCACAGGUCAAACCACUGUUACGAGGAGGAGGAGGGACGCAAGCUCCACCCCCCUGACCGCAGAGCCUGGGCAGGAAAUCACCACUUUCACUGAUGUUAUUCUGUCACUUUCAUAUCCACGAAAUGAAUAGGCAUUUACAGGGGAAGAUGUACAAUAUGGAUAUAAAACAACAAUCAGAAUCAUUUAUUACUUACCUGCUCUGGUGGUACUGACAACAGAAUAAAAGGAAUCACAUCAACAAUAAUAAAAAACUUUGCCUAGAGGGAAAUAGACAUAUGAAGUAACACCAUAAACAGAUAUUCUGUAUUUUCUUUUUUACGAUUCUACUCCUUUUGUCCCAUUUUACUUGACAUAUGGCUCACUUCAUAAGAACGUUUAAAUAUUGAUUUCCAAAUAGCUUCACUUACUUGGUCCUAAAACAAUAUUAACAGACCAUGUAGCUUCCGGAAGGAUCUGUUCUGCUGUUUCUGUAAAAAAAAAAAAAAAAAAAAGGAAAAGAAAAGAAAUGUUUUGGUUUUCUCAGCAUUUUUGAAUCAAGAGAGUUAGUUGGUCCCAAAUAUACCCAAACAUACCCAAACAUAAUGACCAUAUGAUUUCUUUUUUAAAGGCUAUGAUUAAGGCUACCUUUAAGAGACACGGCCAUCAGUGAGACCUCUGAGUGAAACCUUUCAGAUGAGCAUCUGUCCUCUCCAAGGUGUGAAAUCACAUUUGGCAAACAGCCUUCUAACCCCCAGAAUGCUCAACACGAGACCCAUCAUGUUUUAUGUCUGCACACAAUAAAGAUAGCUGUGUAAACUGCGUGUACUCCUCAAAACAUCUUUGCCACUCAAGUCACUAGGAGGUUUUUCCCCUGCCUUUCCAUUCUGCUUCAAAUAUCAGAUAUAACAAAAUGUUUAUUUUUUUUAAAGUUUAUUUAUUUUUAGUAAUCUCUACACCCAACUGGGGCUCAAACCCACAACGCCGAGAUCAAGAGUCACACACUCCUCUCUGACUGAGCCAGUCAGGCACCCCAGAGAUACAAAAUGUUUAAUUUGGUAGCUGCGAUAAUUUUCACCCUGGAAAUAUUUAUUAUAUUUACAUAAAAGCCAGUAAGAUCUUUGAAAUAGAUUUAAAAAUAUAUACAUAAACCCAAUGUGGGGGAGGGACACCAAAAUUAUAGCAAACAGUGGUAAGGUAACUAUAUCAAAAAAUCAAAAAGGUAUAAUUGUCUUUUAACAUACCUGGAUGGUACUAAAAAGAAAAAGAUGAUUUCGGGGCGCCUCAGUCAGUUGAGCGUCCGACUUCGGCUCAGGUCAUGAUCUUGCGGUCUGUGAGUUCGAGCUCCAAGUCGGGCUUUGUGCUGACAGCUCAGAGCCUGGAGCCUGCUUCGAAUUCUGUGUCUCCCUCUCUCUCUGCCCCUCCCCUACUCAUGCUCUGUCUCUCUCUGUCUCAGAAAUAAAUAAAUAUUUUAAAAAAUUUAAAAAGAAAAAGAUGAUCUCUCAAAAACCUCACAUAACCUAUUUCCACUCCAAAGUUCCUAAAGAUGAUCUUUUGGUGGGGGGGGGGGGGAAUGUAUGGAUUGCUUACUAUGUCUUAAGCACUUUACUUGCAUGAUUCCAUUUAAUAUCUGCAACAGCUCUUUAAGGUAGCUGCAUUUAUUAUCACCUACUUACAGAUGAGAAAAUGUAGUCUUACAAAGAGGUAAGUAACUGUGAGCAGUUACACAGAUGUUAGGUGGCCGAGCCAGAAUUUAAACUCAGGACUGACUCCAGAGCCCAACCUCCCCAGCUAUCCCUAGAUGACAAGAAAUAAUGACUGCAAUUUUCCUCAGCUGAAUUUCAAGCCCUAAGAACGUGCAAACUCGGAACCGAGUAGAAUGCUUUGCGCUGAACCUCGAACAAUCCAACAAGAGAAACGGGAUCGCAAAAUGCAGCUUUCAAAGCGGGGACCCAGAGUCACAUGUCCUCACCAGCAGCAGCAGAAGAUUCUCACCACUCCCCGGUGGGGGGAGGGUGGGAGGAAGGCUCUCCUCCCCACCCUCCUGAACAGCCUGUGGACAUUCUUCUCAAAGACUCUCACAGCCGCUCUGGCAUCCCUCCCCUUUCUGCCUCCCCUUCAAAGCUCUGGUGGUCAGUGCGUCUUCUUUCCCAUCCUCUGGGGUUUCACCCAGCAGCCAAUCAAUAAAUAUUUGUCGAAUGAAUAAAUGAAUGAAUGAGUGAAUGAACAAACAGCUGUCAAACCAGUCACAGAUGGAAAAGUACACAGAGGUGCAUAAAUAGUAAGCUGUUUGCCCAAAAUAGCCUCAGCUUGACCAGAAGGUAAAGCUCACCAAACUUCACCGUUCA